rnacentral:rRNA from 1 species
GACGAACGCUGGCGGCGUGCUUAACACAUGCAAGUCGAACGGAAAGGCCCUGCUUUUGUGGGGUGCUCGAGUGGCGAACGGGUGAGUAACACGUGAGUAACCUGCCCUUGUCUUUGUGAUAACUUCAGGAAACUGGGGCUAAUACCGGAUAGGAUCUCCUGCUGCAUGGUGUGGGUUGGAAAGUUUCGGCGGUUGGGGAUGGACUCGCGGCUUAUCAGCUUGUUGGUGGGGUAGUGGCUUACCAAGGCUUUGACGGGUAGCCGGCCUGAGAGGGUGACCGGCCACAUUGGGACUGAGAUACGGACCAGAAUCCUACGGGAGGCAGCAGUGGGGAAUAUUGCACAAUAGGCGGAAGCCUGAUGCAGCAACGCCGCGUGCGGGAUGACGGCCUUCGGGUUGUAAACAGCUUUCGAAUGUGCCGAAGAGUGAGUGACGGUAAUGGGUAAAGAAGCCACGGCUAACUACGUG